CAACUCUUCUGAAAUAAUCCUGAAGCCUGGCAACCCCUGCUUUGACCAAAGUGAGCUUGGCUAAACAUUCUGCUACCUUCACCAAAAGUCUCCCAGUCUGAUUUUUUAGAACGGCCAGAAGGAAGCCCUUGCUUUUCUCAAGGCCCACUAGGUACUCUGUGCAGAGAAAACUUGGUCAGCAGGAGGCAACUCUAUGGGAACUCCCAGGGCUGGCUGGCUGUAGCUGAGGCCUUUCUGCUUGGAGAUAAGGAAGUAUUUAUUGAUGGAUCAAAGGCUAUAAUUUUAAUGGGACAACUGUGGAUUAAAAGUUUGCUGUACAGCCAAAGGUGGAAAAAGCCAUAAUCUUAGGAACUUUAUGUAAAUCAAGGAGCCUCUGAAGUACCUAAGAGCCAUCCAGCCUGGCCACACCCGUGUUCCCCACCUUUAUCCAUCCCUUUGCACUGGU
ensembl:lncRNA